CUCCUCCUCCUGUCAGUCCCUCUCAGUUUCAGUGUUGUAUUAAAUUGCUCCUCCAGCACCUCCUCUCCUCAUCCUCCAAACCCUCUAAUCUGUCAGCAGUGAGCUCACUUUCCAGGUUACAAGGCCGUUCUCAUCACACACUGACAACAUGCUGGGGAUCCUCUGCACUCUCAUCACUGCUCUAACAUGUGUGAGUGGUGUGACGGUGGUGACACAGGAGCCUCCUGUUGUGACGGUGAGCAAAGGAGAGACAGCCACCAUGGACUGUCAUUCUGCUAUAGAUGGACCUCGCUGGUAUAAACAGAUUCCUGGAGGAGUUCCUCAGUUCAUACUGAAUUAUUAUCACAGCUUUAGUGCGCCCAAAUAUGGCUCUGGUUUCUCCUCUCCAAAGUUCACAUCCACUCAUCAGUCAGAAACAGAUUAUCGUUUGAUCAUCAACAAUGUGGAGGAGGGAGACUCAGCAGUCUAUUACUGUGCUACAUGGGACGAUUCUGUUAAGGAGAACGUAUCACAGUGAUUUACACUGUGACAAAAACCUCCUCACUAUUACUUCUGCUUUUUGAGUCUCUGACACAUCUGGAGUGGGAGUCAAGCCAACAGCCAGUGCUUUCUGUAACUUCCCCACUAAUAUAUUUAAAAUAUAUUCUCAAACUUCUUUUUUGGAUUCUCACAUAAAUCCUUUCAUCUUUCCUGG